GACGAACGCUGGCGGCGUGCUUAACACAUGCAAGUCGAACGGAAAGGCCUGCUUUCCCUUGUGGAUUGCGGGUACUCGAGUGGCGAACGGGUGUGUAACACGUGAGUGAUCUGCCCCCAACUUGGGUAUAAGCCUGGGAAGCUGGGUCUAAUUCCCGAUAGGACUGCAGGGUGGUGCCUGUGGUGGAAAACGAUUUUCUAGUGGUUGGGGAUGAGCUCGCGGCCUAUCAGCUUGUUGGUGGGGUAAUGGCCUACCAAGGCGGCGACGGGUAGCCGGCCUGAGAGGGUGGACGGCCGCAGUGGGACUGAGAUACGGCCCAGACUCCUACGGGAGGCAGCAGUGGGGAAUAUUGCACAAUGGGCGGAAGCCUGAUGCAGCGACGCCGCGUGGGGGAUGACGGCCUUCGGGUUGUAAGCUCCUUUCGACCGCGAGGAAGCCACCUGGUUGAAAGGGUGGUGACGGUAGUGGUAGAAGAAGCACCGGCUAACUACGUG
rnacentral:rRNA from 1 species